rnacentral:rRNA from 1 species
GAUGAACGCUGGCGGCGUGCCUAACACAUGCAAGUCGAACGAGCGGACGAUAAGCUUUCUUUUCUGGUUUUAGCGGCGGACGGGUGAGUAACACGUGUAUAACCUACCCAUAGGUCUGGGAUAACCUCGUGAAACCGGAGCUAAUACCGGGUAAUCUUUUGAACCCCAAGGUGCAAGACUCGAUGGCUUCCUUGCUUUUGCUUUUCCAUGGAUCCGUGCUGCAUUAGCUAGUUGGUCAGGUAACGGCUUACCAAGGCAACGAUGCAUAGCCGAGCUGAGAGGGUGAUCGGCCACACUGGAACUGAGACACGGUCCAGACUCCUACGGGAGGCAGCAGUGGGGAAUCUUGCGCAAUGGGCGAAAGCCUGACGGAGCGACGCCGCGUGGGUGAAGAAGGUCUUCGGAUCGUAAAGCUCUGUUAUGAGGGAAGAACAGAUGUGUGAGUAACUGUGCUCAUCUUGACGGUACCCGAUGAGGAAGCCCCGGCUAACUACGUG